AGUAACACUCUGGGAGGGCUCAAACCACAUAACCAAAUGUGCCAAGAUAAUCCUGAGCUCACUAUUGUCAGUCCUGAAGAUUUUCCUCAGAUAAUCUUUCAUCUCUUUGUUCCUGAGACUAUAUAUUAGAGGAUUACAGAGUGGUGUUAUCACAGAAAAGAACAAGGCUUUUCUGAUCCAAGAUCUCGGAUUGUUCAAAUCCAUGAGGUGGGACCACACUCAAGAAAAAGUCCAGGGUAAGCUUUCCAUCUAGAAUGAUACCUUAACCACCAGUGAAAGAAGCAAGGUCAAUUUUCAUUGAUUCAAAUUAUAUUCAAAGUGGAUUUUUAUCUGAGAUCUACAACUUAUGAAGAAUACAAAUGAUGUAUAUUCUUUUCUACUCUUCAUGUAUGGACUAGAGGGGCUUGCACAGUAGUAAGAAAAAAAUGGCUGAGACCCACAGGAACAAAGAAACAGGACAGGAGUUAGAUGCAGAGAAGAGAUUUCAACAAAAGUUUGGAAAAGAUGCUAACGGUAGCAUAUGAGUCACAGACAGAACAUUGGCACCUUUGUUUAAGAAACUGAAUGUUAAUGUCACAUCUGCCUUUGGAGAUUACAAAUGAAAUGGCUACCUUUCUACUGGAACCCUGACCAGAAGUCUGCCAGUUAGUAAGCUGGCUUAAGAGAUCAAUCUAAAAUUUACAUAAGGCUUUUGAAAAAAAGAA
rnacentral:lncRNA from 1 species